rnacentral:rRNA from 1 species
AUGUUCCGCCACAGAAAAACAGAUAUCAAAUACUAUGUCUGCACCAUCAACAAAACAUUUGCAAAGCUAGGCCAACCGAUGUAUUUUCAGGUCAACUACACUGAAAUAAAACUAAAUGAUUACAUUGACCCAGAUUAUGAUACGCUCAAGGUCAGGCUUGCAAACAGUGAUCUACAAGCCAAUUGCCGCAUCAUGCUAGGAACCGACAAGAGAGCCAUUGUAACAAUCAACUGGUCUGAGUUCCGUUGCCUUGCAAAAAUCCAUGGAGACAUCUCUGCCUUUCGUUUCAAGGUCACCACAAAGCAGCGCCGGGUUCUCAUGGUGCAUUUUUGUCGUGGUGACUACUCUCAGCCAGAUAUGUAUAGACUUUAG